rnacentral:rRNA from 1 species
UGGCGGACGGGUGAGUAAUGUCUGGGAAACUGCCUGAUGGAGGGGGAUAACUACUGGAAACGGUAGCUAAUACCGCAUAACGUCGCAAGACCAAAGAGGGGGACCUUCGGGCCUCUUGCCAUCAGAUGUGCCCAGAUGGGAUUAGCUAGUAGGUGGGGUAACGGCUCACCUAGGCGACGAUGCCCUAGCUGGUUCUGAGAGGAUGACCAGCCACACGGAAUAGACACGGUCAUUGGCCA